rnacentral:tRNA from 1 species
GCCGGUGUGUUGGAAUGGUAGACGAGGUGGACUCAAAAUCCAUUGCCAGCGAUGGCGUGCGGGUUCAAGUCCCGCCACCGGCACCA